GAUGAACGCUGGCGGCGUGCCUAAUACAUGCAAGUCGAGCGAACAGACGAGGAGCUUGCUCCUCUGACGUUAGCGGCGGACGGGUGAGUAACACGUGGAUAACCUACCUAUAAGACUGGGAUAACUUCGGGAAACCGGAGCUAAUACCGGAUAAUAUAUUGAACCGCAUGGUUCAAUAGUGAAAGACGGUUUUGCUGUCACUUAUAGAUGGAUCCGCGCCGCAUUAGCUAGUUGGUAAGGUAACGGCUUACCAAGGCAACGAUGCGUAGCCGACCUGAGAGGGUGAUCGGCCACACUGGAACUGAGACACGGUCCAGACUCCUACGGGAGGCAGCAGUAGGGAAUCUUCCGCAAUGGGCGAAAGCCUGACGGAGCAACGCCGCGUGAGUGAUGAAGGUCUUCGGAUCGUAAAACUCUGUUAUUAGGGAAGAACAAAUGUGUAAGUAACGAUGCACGUCUUGACGGUACCUAAGCAGAAAGCCACGGCUAACUACGU
rnacentral:rRNA from 1 species